rnacentral:rRNA from 1 species
AGAGUUUGAUCAUGGCUCAGGACGAACGCUGGCGGCGCGCCUAAUACAUGCAAGUCGAACGGACACACCCUCGGGUGUGUUAGUGGCGGACGGGUGAGUAACACGUGGGUGACCUGCCUUCGAGUGGGGAAUAACGCUGGGAAACCAGCGCUAAUACCGCAUACGCUCCGCGUUUCAGUACGCGGAGGAAAGCUUGAUGUGCUCGAAGAGGGGCCUGCGGCGGAUUAGCUAGUCGGUGGGGUAACGGCUUACCGAGGCGACGAUCCGUAGCUGGUCUGAGAGGAUGACCAGCCACACUGGGACUGAGACACGGCCCAGACUCCUACGGGAGGCAGCAGUAAGGAAUCUUCCCCAAUGGGCGCAAGCCUGAGGGAGCGACGCCGCGUGGAUGAUGAAGCCCUUCGGGGUGUAAAAUCCUUUUCCCUGCGAUGAGAUGGACAGUAGCAGGGGAAUAAGCCACGGCUAACUACGUGCCAGCAGCCGCGGUAAUAC